UCGAGAAUCUUCCACAAUGGACGCAAGCCUGAUCCAGCCAUGCCGCGUGAGUGAAGAAGGCCUUAGGGUUGUAAAACUCUUUCGUCGGGGACGAUAAUGACGGUACCCGAAGAAGAAGCUCCGGCUAACUUCGUGCCAGCAGCCGCGGUAAUACGAAGGGAGCUAGCGUUGUUCGGAAUCACUGGGCGUAAAGCGCACGUAGGCGGAUAGUUAAGUCAGGGGUGAAAUCCUGGGGCUCAACCCCAGAACUGCCUUUGAUACUGGCUGUCUCGAGGUCGAGAGAGGUUGGUGGAAUUCCUAGUGUAGAGGUGAAAUUCGUAGAUAUUAGGAAGAACACCAGUGGCGAAGGCGGCUCACUGGUCCGGUACUGACGCUGAGGUGCGAAAGCGUGGGGAGCAAACAGGAUUAGAUACCCCCGUAGUCCCUGAGCGGGCUGGCAAGGCGCA
rnacentral:rRNA from 1 species